rnacentral:rRNA from 1 species
GCAAGUCGAGGGGUAACGAUUAGAAAGCUUGCUUUCUAAGGCGACGACCGGCGCACGGGUGAGUAACGCGUAUGCAACCUACCUUUAACUGGGGAAUAGCCCGAAGAAAUUCGGAUUAAUGCCCCAUAAUAUUUAUCUAAUGCAUAUUAGAUUUUUUAAAGCUCCUGCGGUUAAAGAUGGGCAUGCGUGACAUUAGUUAGUUGGUAAGGUAACGGCUUACCAAGACUACGAUGUCUAGGGGGCCUGAGAGGGUAGUC